AGGAGCCGUGUGAGAUGAAAGUCUCAUGCACGGUUUGAAUGAGAAAGAAUGAGGAAUCCUCUUUUCGACUCUAAC
rnacentral:ncRNA from 1 species